UCUCCGUUGGUGAACCAGCGGAGGGAUCAUUACCGAGUUAUCCACUCCCAAACCCCUGUGAACAUACCCAACGUUGCUUCGGCGGGACCGCCCCGGCGCCCUCGGCGUCCCGGAACCAGGCGCCCGCCGGAGGACCCAAACUCUUGUUUAAACCAUAGUGGCAUAUUCUGAGUCUCACAAGAAAAAUGAAUCAAAACUUUCAACAACGGAUCUCUUGGCUCUG
rnacentral:misc_RNA from 1 species